GAUGAACGCUGGCGGCGUGCCUAAUACAUGCAAGUCGAGCGAACAGACGAGGAGCUUGCUCCUCUGACGUCAGCGGCGGACGGGUGAGUAACACGUGGAUAACCUACCUAUAAGACUGGGGUAACUUCGGGAAACCGGAGCUAAUACCGGAUAAUAUAUUGAACCGCAUGGUUCAAUAGUGAAAGACGGUUUUGCUGUCACUUAUAGAUGGAUCCGCGCCGCAUUAGCUAGUUGGUAAGGUAACGGCUUACCAAGGCAACGAUGCGUAGCCGACCUGAGAGGGUGAUCGGCCACACUGGAACUGAGACACGGUCCAGACUCCUACGGGAGGCAGCAGUAGGGAAUCUUCCGCAAUGGGCGAAAGCUUGACGGAGCAACGCCGCGUGAGUGAUGAAGGUCUUCGGAUCGUAAAACUCUGUUAUUAGGGAAGAACAAAUGUGUAAGUAACUAUGCACGUCUUGACGGUACCUAAUCAGAUAGCCACGGCUAACUACGUG
rnacentral:rRNA from 1 species